UUGAGCUAGAGGUAGCACAGAGAUGUUCAACUUCUGCUAGUUCUGAUAUUGAGAGGUUUGAGUCGUCUGUUGGUACUGAUUUCAAUUUAUGGCUAUAGGCGAGUGGGGGGCCAAAAGGGGGAGGAAAGAUUUUUGGAAUGAGUUCAUUGAGCAGAACCCAUAGAGUUGGUCGUAUAUCUUCUUCCUCCUCCUCACAUACCCAACAGAUGCAUAACUUGACUGAAGAGAUUUUCCAGUUGAAGGGCAUUAUAAAUGACAGGGAUGAAGAAAUGAGAGAAAUGCGCCGACAACAAGACUUUAUUAUGCGACAUCUUCAGUUAAGUUCUGUUCCAAGUCAAAUUCCUCCCGGUGACGGUGAUGAUGGCGAUGAUGAUAAUGGCGGUGGUGGUGAUUCUUCAUAAAUUUAUGGAAAAGAAGCACGGAAGGCGACCGAAGCUCCUGAGACAUGAUGAUAUGUAUUUUAUUUUUCUUUGGAUGUCUUGUUACAUUUAUUGUUUGGAUUAUCAUAGAACUUUCAUGUUUGGAUAUUAUGAGUUGUUGAACUUGUUUGGAUUUUGGUUAGUUGUAUA